rnacentral:lncRNA from 1 species
GUGGCAGAGGAUUGUUAAUUGCCCCUUAGAUCUUCUGGGAUUGAAAUUCUCAAACUGAUGAGCCAUGUCUCCAUCCCCUGUCCUGGACUAUUGUCCUUCUUUGUGUGGUGAAUUAGUUGAACUGGAUCACACUCAAACAAAGAAAGUUAUUUCUUGAGACCUGUAGGGAUACAUAAAGGAGUAGUCGGGCUAAUCAGACGUUAGUGGGGUCAGGAUCAAGCCUCAGCAUCUCAGCAUUUUUAGGGAUUUGGCAGAUCUCUCACAUCUCAUCCUGGAGGGCCAUGCAGAUGAGGCCCAUCAGAUGAAGUGCAGAAUUGAGGAGCUCUCUCGGGAGUGGCGCUGUGGCUGUUCCAUGCCUUCAGGGGGAAGUUCAAUAAAGUGUCUAUCAGCUCUUGAUAAAGAAUAUCUUCACCAUAAACAAGAGAACAUGAGAACUGCUUCCACAGAAACAGGACACAUCAGAACAUAGUUAAAGGCAAACUGAGAAAAACAUUUUCUUCUCAAUGGUGGCAUUUCAGCCCCUACUUGCACCUGUCACCAGUCCUUACUUGAUCCUGCCUGGGAGCUGCAUCUCGAUGUCUCCACAACAUGGAGUUUGCUCAGAAGGCAUCAUGCCAGCCCUCCUCGACCCCUGAGGAGGAGGAGAGGAUGAACAGUUUGGAGAAGCUAAGAAUUGCUCUCCACAAGAUGCAAAAGGAGAGAGAUGAACUCCAGAGAAUCCUCUCUUCUUACCCAAGGAAUGACCUAAACUACAGGUCUUCAAUUCUCCAUCAGAAGCUUGAAUAGUGCACAGACCAGGACUACAUCUCUCUGUGACAGAACUGUCCACCAGGAGCACUGAGUGUGCAAAGAAUGUCAACAACUCCCCCAUCUCAGUCCUAAUAACCAUAGCAAUCUUAGGGUGCAUUUUGUUCUUUACUUUGCUUUCCUAUGUGUGAGGGUCCUUCAUGAUCAGUCAGGCAAAUUUCAAAGACCUUGAGAUAUUGCCUGUAACAUUCUCAUGCUUAACCUUUGGAGGACAUGUCCAUCAGCAACCCACCACACCCUUUGAGGCAGGUCUACACUGAUCUUCAAGAGAUUAUUACCAUCUUGCCUGCCUUUCUGCUUUGUUUGCAAGGCCAGCAGCAGGCUGUGGUGUACGUAACAAAUCUGCAGCAGUCAAGUGCUGCUCCUCUCACCUGUUUUCUUUUGUUUCUGGUUAGAAGUUUGAUUGCUUUAGGUUUUGCUUUGUUUUCAGUUGAAAUUUUGUUAUUUAUUUGUUAUCUUUUUCAUUUUUUAAUUAGUUUGUUAUAUUACUAAGGUUAUAUACAUUGAACUCAUUGACUUCCCACUUUAAAUGUUGUUUAAUAAAUCAAUGUGUGAUUAUAAAUAAAAAU